rnacentral:tRNA from 1 species
CGCCCCUAUCGUCUAGCGGUUAGGACUUCUCUCUUUCAAGGAGACAACGGGAAUUCAAGUUUCCCUGGGGGUG